CCGGCAAAUAACUUCCCGUCGGUUGAGAUGUUGAAAUGCACCGACCACUCGUCGCGCUGAAGGUGAUACCAGGUUCGCUGCCCGGUGGCUAUCUCAUACGACGCGAGCCAGAAGUCCUCGCCACGCGGCGUCUGCAGGUCGUACCAGAUAACGCGGCCGUCAGCGCUGAAGAAUUCGUGUCCGGCAAUCUCCAUAUUCAUAGUGCGCGUGUGAAUCUUAGUCAGCCCUGUGCCGUCGGUACGGAUGGUCCAGAUGCGAUCUACUUUGUGCCAUGGUCCCUCGUGACAGAACAUGAUGAGAGUAGGAUCGGUCGGCGAAAACUGAAGAUGAUUUAGCCAGUCGGUAGCUCGCCGAACAGUCUUCAUCUCUGCGGU
rnacentral:misc_RNA from 1 species